rnacentral:lncRNA from 1 species
UUCAAUUCCUUUUGCAGAGGCACAUAAUAACCAUUAGUUUGGUUUGAGAUAGGUGGUAAAAGAAGAAUUCCCAUCUCAUGGUAUUGGCAUUAUCAACGAAAUCAGUUCAAAUCGUCCAUCCUCAACAUUUCUCCCGGGGUUGACUGAAAUCUGGAAGCAGAAUGGACUGUUCUUGCCUUGGUUCAGUAGACAUUUCAUAACAAUGAGCCAGAUAAGAUGAAAAUCAAGCUUAUGUUUGGUUCUUUUCCUUUUAGCAAUGCCUGUCUUGCCACUGCCAUCUAGCAUUCCACAAGUGCUUGACUGGCCAGAGUCACAAGUAUCUACCAGCAU